rnacentral:rRNA from 1 species
AUGAACGCUGGCGGCGUGCCUAAUACAUGCAAGUCGAGCGAACGGACGAGAAGCUUGCUUCUCUGAUGUUAGCGGCGGACGGGUGAGUAACACGUGGAUAACCUACCUAUAAGACUGGGAUAACUUCGGGAAACCGUAGCUAAUACCGGAUAAUAUUUUGAACCGCAUGGUUCAAAAGUGAAAGACGGUCUUGCUGUCACUUAUAGAUGGAUCCGCGCUGCAUUAGCUAGUUGGUAAGGUAACGGCUUACCAAGGCAACGAUGCAUAGCCGACCUGAGAGGGUGAUCGGCCACACUGGAACUGAGACACGGUCCAGACUCCUACGGGAGGCAGCAGUAGGGAAUCUUCCGCAAUGGGCGAAAGCCUGACGGAGCAACGCCGCGUGAGUGAUGAAGGUCUUCGGAUCGUAAAACUCUGUUAUUAGGGAAGAAUAUAUGUGUAAGUAACUGUGCACAUCUUGACGGUACCUAAUCAGAAAGCCACGGCUAACUACGUG